UAUAGCUAUAUAUGUUUAUUUCAAGUCCACCUAUACGAGUAAAUUAAUGUUUGAUUCCUUAGGGUUUCCUAUUUUAAACCCCUAGAACACGUGCUGGUUGGACUUGUUUUAUUCACCAAUCAAAAUGACUUUAAGAAUACAUAUUUUUAAAAGAACAGUUUCUAUUGGUUAGAUCUCUUUUUAUCUAAUUUACAUUUUUACAUAAUUUGGGCUUACUAUUUUCAAUUACUUAAUACUUUGUUUUUACGGCCAUUAGGGAAAUCCGAUUAUUUGGUUAGAUAGAAU
rnacentral:lncRNA from 1 species